GUGGAAAGAAACCACAAAACCUGGAGGAAACCCAUGCAAACAUGGGGAGAACACACAAACUCCACACAGAAAGGCCCGGAACGACUUGGAUUCAAACCCAGAACCUUCUUGCUGUGAGGCCUCAGGGCUAACCAUU